GAUGAACGCUGGCGGCGUGCCUAAUACAUGCAAGUCGAGCGAACGGACGAGAAGCUUGCUCUUCUGAUGUUAGCGGCGGACGGGUGAGUAACACGUGGAUAACCUACCUCUAAGACUUGGAUAACUUCGGGAAACCGGAGCUAAUACCGGAUAAUAUUUUGAACCGCAUGGUUCAAAAGUGAAAGACGGUCUUGCUGUUACUUUUAGAUGGAUCCGCGCUGCAUUAGCUAGUUGGUAAGGUACCGGCUUACCAAGGCAACGAUGCAUAGCCGACCUGAGAGGGUGAUCGGCCACACUGGAACUGAGACACGGUCCAGACUCCUACGGGAGGCAGCAGUAGGGAAUCUUCCGCAAUGGGCGAAAGCCUGACGGAGCAACGCCGCGUGAGUGAUGAAGGUCUUCGGAUCGUAAAACUCUGUUAUUAGGGAAGAACAUAUGUGUAAGUAACUGUGCACAUCUUGACGGUACCUAAUCAGAAAGCCACGGCUAACUACGUG
rnacentral:rRNA from 1 species